UACGUAGGGUGCGAGCGUUAAUCGGAAUUACUGGGCGUAAAGCGUGCGCAGGCGGUUUGCCAAGUCAGAUGUGAAAGCCCCGGGCUCAACCUGGGAAUGGCGUUUGAAACUGGCAGGCUAGAGAUCGGCAGAGGGGGGUGGAAUUCCACGUGUAGCAGUGAAAUGCGUAGAGAUGUGGAGGAACACCAAUGGCGAAGGCAGCCCCCUGGGCCUGAUCUGACGCUCAUGCACGAAAGCGUGGGGAGCAAACAGG
rnacentral:misc_RNA from 1 species